GGUUUUAUAGUGUAAACUAUUAACGCACAAUAGAUUGCAAAUCUAAAAGAGAAAAAUUUUCUAAAACCU
rnacentral:tRNA from 1 species